CCCCAAGGGGAGGCGGGGCCGCAGUUUGCGCGUGCGCAGGCGCACUAAGCGGGGAGGUGCUCCCGACGUAUAAACCAGCUGAGAAAAAUGCACGGGCUCUUUGGUGGCAAGUCCUUUAUUUUAAUGCUGACCUUUGACUACCUAACUUUUCUCUUCCAUCCCUGUUUGUGAAGAAUCUGAGGAAUAUAGAGAAUAUGCUAACCUCAGAUUGUACCAAGAUGCCCAUGUGACCUCCACAAGCAAAGCUAGUGGACAACUGGAGGAUUAUUCAGCUAAUUCAGGCAAAAGAGUAAAAAGGAAAAGGGCAGUUUAUAAGAAGCAGGAAAUAGUCCACGUUUAUCAGCUCACCUAGGUUUCAUCCUGUGGUAAAUGCAAGGUGAGUAACAACUGUCACAGAUAAACAUGAUUAGUACUAAAAUGUUAGCGCCGGGUAUCAAAGCGCAUGUGCACACACUCACUGUUAGACAAGUGAAUGAAACUGUAAGUUAAUGGAUCAGGUUGAAGCACAUGAAAUUGCCAUUUUGUGGUCAGAGGCAGUGGAGUAUUGGCAACUUCAUGUGACGCAACCUUAAUCUUUCAGAACCAAAAAUGACCUUGGAAGUAAUUUCAUCUAAGGUUUCUUCACCUGGGUUAAUAUGGGUUGACUUCAAGGAAACCAGAAGCCCUAAUCUAUCUAGUCAUUCAAUUGAUAGUUUUGGGGAGCCUAUGAUGUGCCAAGAGCUGUUAUGGUAACUGGGAUAUAGAUGUGAAAAAGGCUAAGUCCCUUGCCCUCAUGGAUGUUACAUUUCAGUGGCAAAGCCUGGCAAUUAAUGUAUAAUAUGAUGUCACUAUUGAAUUGAGUGCAGAGAUAUAUGUCUUAUGUAUAUGUAUGCAUUUUUCUGGAGGGAGAGUUCACUGAAUUCAUGAGAGUGGUUUAUGAUCACUAAGCGAUUAGGAACCAGUGACCUAUUACACCCUGCUCAUUUGAUAGAUGGAGAAACCAAAGCACAGACACUGAGUGAUUUGCUCAUCGCCGUGUAGUUCAUUAAUGGCUGACUUAGGAUCAGCACCCAGGCAUUCCAUGGUGUCACUAUCAGAUACUAUCACGCAUUGUAGGGGAGAUGAUCUAUGAGUUUUCAUUUCUUUCCUGUAUUUAUUCUUCUUUUCAUUGUACCUGCCUGCCGUUUUGACUCGACAAAUUUAUGCUAAGAGUUGAGAAUCUGGUCACACAGACCACAAUCCUAAUUUCAGCGGUACAGAGUUUUAGCUUUGUGACUUCAGAAAAUUGCUAAAACCCUUAGAGGCCAAUUGCCACAUUUGUAGAAUGAGUGAGUAUGAUGAGAGUAAGUCAUAACUGGCAAGUUAUUGAGAACAUUAAAUGAAAUCAUUUAUACACAC